CUAGAAAAGUCUGACUCAGCCUGGCCUGAUGGAAAUGUGCUCAGCUUGCUUUAUGAAGGUCUAUCCAGCUAUGAAAGCAGAAGACUUGCUCAUUUGUCAUUGAUUUUGUGAAUCUAGUAGAAUGUUUUUUUUUCUGCCCUCAUCACAGUGAUUUUUGUUGCAAUGUGUCAACUGGUAUGUCAAUGAAUGACAGCAUUUAUCCAUCAACAGUCAGAUCAGCUUAAGAAAGCUCUAUGUGGCUGAGGGAGUACUCCUGCUCCACGGAGAAUCUGAUUUAAGAAAGCUCCCAGAAGGGUCCUGUUCUCCUACCAUCUGUGAUCUUAAUUGCCCAAGCUGGAGCGAUGGAGCAGGAAGCCAGUGCUGUUUCCAGAGCCCAGAGCUGUGUGUUCUCAAAUAUUUGCGCCCCUGAAUUCCCUGGUCAAAAAACGCAGUGCUGAGACCCUUCCUGGCUCAUUUGGAAUGAAAUGGUCAGAUGCUGCUUGACUCCUUACACACGUCACAGGAAACAAUCAAGCAAGUUGAUGCAUCAUCUGCAAGAGCUCUGGGGUGAAAAUGCAAUGCCUGUUAGUGGCAUAAUCCUGCAGCUAUGCAUGUCUGGGUUCAGAACAAUUGCCAGAGCCGAGACCUGUAUGGAACAAAGACCCUUGAGCAUGUAGAAGAGGAUCAGCCCAGCUGAGC